GAUGUGCGGUGUGUUUGCAAGGGCGCCAAUGCCCUAUUACCCUGUUUCCAAACGCAUCACGGAGCUGACCCCAAGCAACCUCGUGGAAGCUCCCGCUGCUCAUCCAGAGUGCCGACGGCGACGGCGGCAGCCGCAGGUUGCUCCCCUCACAGAGAUGCGAGAAAGGAAGAGCAAGUAGAGAGGAGUUAGCCCAAGCUCAUCCAUUCUAUACCUGGCCUUUUCGUCACAUCCUGGCUGAAGCAGCUGCGAGCUCCCGUGUUGUUUUCCUUCCAGUACUAUGAGCAGGUAAUAAAGGCAUUGGUGCUGUCAACGGCAGAUUGUUUGCGUCGUACUGAAGGAGACAGUUAGCAGCAACUCUCAACGAAUUUUAUGGGGGCAUUUUUUUGAUUAUCACGGUAAGUUGACGCCAGAAGCUAAUGCUCAAAGGAUCAACCUCUUUCUUGGAAUGUACUUGGGUGUCUCGAGAUGAGCAGGAGCACCAAACCGAUGAGCCGGGUGUGUUUGAGCUAUUUUUCCAGAGGAGACACUUCGUGCAGUGCUAUUUGUUAAGGUCUGGGGGGAUUGAGCUAAUCUGCAAUAUUUUCUUCGUUUGGCUGUAUUCUCUGCACGUGAGAGCAGAGAGGAUCGACAUGAACAGAAGAGACGCAUGCGCAUCCGGAGAUCACCAAAAUUGGCGAGUUGCAACCAAAUUGAUAGGCUACACUGAAGGUACACAGAAAAAAACAUGUGGCUAUUUUCUGCGGCGGCUUCAAUGUGGGUUAUGAGCCAAAUUUGCAGUUGAUAACUCAAAGAUGAUGCAGAGGUUGUGGUGUGAGAACUUUUCUGACCCGGCCAAAAAGAAACGGACCUUACUCCCUGGCUUACCUGCGUGAAUGGUCAGAAUGAUAAGGUGUGGCCUCAUGUGUAUUUCUAUUCUGCUAUUAGCCAAUCAAGAAAAUCAUCAACUCUACAUGAAUGGUCAGAAUGAUAAGGUGUGGCCUCAUGUGUAUUUCUAUUCACUCCAUUUGUGUUAGCGACUUGGCAACCUUUUGGUUCACUGAGAAUAAGCAAUAAUAUGAAAUGGUUUUUUUAGUAAA